rnacentral:pre_miRNA from 1 species
AAAAUACUCCCUCCGUCCGAAAAUACUUGUCCUCGAAAUGGAUAAAAUGGAUGUAUGUAUAACUAAAAUAAGUCUAGAUACAUCCAUUUUUAGGACAAGUAUUUCCGGACGGAGGGAGUAUUAU